GACGAACGCUGGCGGCGUGCCUAAUACAUACAAGUCGAACGAGAGCGACCGGUGCUUGCACUGGUCAAUCUAGUGGCGAACGGGUGAGUAACACGUGGGUAACCUGCUCAUCAGAGGGGGAUAACAUCCGGAAACGGAUGCUAAAACCGCAUAGGUCUUCGAGCCGCAUGGCUUGAAGAGGAAAAGAGGCGCACGCUUCUGCUGAUGGAUGGACCCGCGGUGCAUUAGCUAGUUGGUGAGGUAACGGCUCACCAAGGCCGUGAUGCAUAGCCGACCUGAGAGGGUGAUCGGCCACAUUGGGACUGAGACACGGCCCAAACUCCUACGGGAGGCAGCAGUAGGGAAUCUUCCGCAAUGGACGCAAGUCUGACGGAGCAACGCCGCGUGAGUGAAGAAGGUUUUCGGAUCGUAAAACUCUGUUGUUAGAGAAGAACAAGUGCUAGAGUAACUGUUAGCGCCUUGACGGUAUCUAACCAGAAAGCCACGGCUAACUACGUG
rnacentral:rRNA from 1 species